rnacentral:misc_RNA from 1 species
AGGAUAUCCCACAAUCAAGUGCAAUGUAUUUAGAUGCUUUGGAUCUCGUAAGGGAUCCAGAAGAACGAGAGUGUUUCAUCUGUUUAAACCCAGAGCCGCGUAGGAGAUGGCUGCAAAGGAUGUUGCACCGUCGCUUCCCCUUGCGCUAUAGCACUGAUGUUUGAGCAACUGUAAGUAAUCAACACAAUCUGCUCGUGGAGGAUCACAACAUUUACUCAAGAACAAGGGAGAUAUCGUUUAACA